AUCACUUCCCUCUGAGCAAUAUCCUCCCUGCAGGGCAGAGUCCCAACACUCGGUUACACCUACGGACUCGGCCUAGUGAUAUGGGACACUGAGACUGGAGGGAGGGAAGGGGCUCACCCCACCCUUUCCACACCUUACUCCCAGUAUGCAGGUUUCUAGAAACCGGGUUAAGAAGCUGCAGAUUUGGAGAGAUGUCAGGGGUGGCUAUGGGGCGCCUGUAGGGAGAGGGCAGGAUUCCUGCUCUGGCCGGGGUCGGUGGGGAGGUUGUUGUGUGUGCUGGUAGAGUCUUGGUCCCUAUUUCUUACCCCAGUUGGCUCUCUCAGGCUUCUGUCCCCAGGGAGAAGAGCUGCCACAUCAAGCCUCAGGAACUCUCCUUUGACCCUGAACUGCCCACUUCCCUUCUUUCCUGACGGCGCCAGCAGAGGGCACCAGGAGCCACGCAGGAGCUGCGGGACGUCCUGGCCACAGGGAUGCCGCCCUCAGCCAGCCUCACCUGAGGAUGGAACAGGGGGCUGCCUGGUUGCAGCGAUCCUUCAGAGAGCAGUCCCUGCUGCCUUGCACAAAACGCCUCUGAGAUCAGAAGCCCUUUCAUGGAGAGCAGGUGAGAUCCCCAGUCACAGGAUCAAGGUCUGACUUCAUCCUGGGGUUCACAGGGCAGAGACCCAGGUCCCACAAAGAUGAUGUGCUCAGGAAGCCACAGUGGAGCCCCAGAUGCAUCAGGUGAGUCAUGCUGGUGCCACAGGCUUGAAUUGGGCUGGCAACAAAUAGGCUGGGGGGUGUCAGGUGGGCAUUACCUCUGGGCUGUUCUUACUUGGGGCAAUGUCUCCAUUAUCUUGGGGCAGUGCCUCCAACAUCCCUUUCCAAUUCAGCAACUG
rnacentral:lncRNA from 1 species